AUGCUGUGGCUGAGAGGGGAGGACAGCUGGACGAGCCGUCUAGACACGAAGGUCCUCCCUACAGCUCAUGCCUGGGUCCUGGCUCCUGCUGACCUACCUCCCCAGUGUAGACGACCAUCUGCCUGGAUUUCUGAAUAUCACCAACCAGGAUUUUUGACUGCCAUACUUUGCUUGACGUUUGGGACACCUCCACUGCUCUGUGUGGGGCUGCCCACCACAGACUCUUUGCUGGUACUACCAAAGGUUGUACCACACUAUACCUUCCAGAUGCCAAGCUCUACCUUCACUGCCCCUUCAGCCGGUUGGGUCUCCCCGGAGCCUGUCUACUCCAGGAGUUCAGGUAGAAAGGAGUUGAUACAAUCAAGGACAUGCAACUCUUCAGUUCCUAACUAAUGCGUGGAGAAAAACAAAAAUUCACCGAUGAUCUAGAACCAUCAUAUUGACUGUCAGAUUUCCCUUCCUCUUUUGAUGAGAUUUCACCCAGUUGGCAAACAAGUAUAAACAAGGAUUACUUGUCCAUUUUCCCUUUGCCCCCUUUCCCUUCUCACUUAGGACAUUUCUUCUUACUGAAAUUAAUAAAGAAUAUUAAUGGAGUAUUCA
rnacentral:lncRNA from 1 species